rfam:Otolemur garnettii contig191568, whole genome shotgun sequence.
CCAAAGGCUCUUUUCAGAGCCACCCACAGCAGCACUUGGGAAGAAG